rnacentral:misc_RNA from 1 species
GAUGAAGAACGUAGCGAAAUGCGAUACGUAAUGUGAAUUGCAGAAUUCAGUGAAUCAUCGAAUCUUUGAACGCACAUUGCGCCUGCCAGCACUCUGGCAGGCAUGCCUGUUCGAGCGUCAUUUCAACCAUCAAGCUCUAGGCUUGCGUUGGAGCCCUGCGGCUGCCGCAGGCCCCUAAAAGCAGUGGCGGGCUCGCUAUCACACCGAGUGCAGUAGAUUACUCUUCGCUCAGGGCGUGUGGCGGGUUCCAGCCGUGAAACCCCCUACUUCUCAAGGUUGACCUCGGAUCAGGUAGGAAUACCCGCUGAACUUAAGCAUAUCAAUAGCGGAGA